rnacentral:misc_RNA from 1 species
UCUCCGUUGGUGAACCAGCGGAGGGAUCAUUACAGAGUUUUCACAACUCCCAACCCUUGCGAACCGUAACCCUUCUGUUCUCGUUGUAUCCGGCGGGGGGACUGGGGGGCCCGAAACGGCGUCCCCGCCCCGCCCGCCGGGGGCGGCGGGCCCUACGAACCUUAAUAUCUCAACCCCAACAAACCGUCUGAGAAAAAAAACAAAAUAAUCAAAACUUCCAACAUCAGAUCUCUUGGCUCUGGCAUAGAAGAAGAAAGCAGCAGAACGGCAGUGCAGACC